ACACAUUGCCCUAAACUUUAUUAAAAGAAGUGUUACAUUAUCAAAAGUCUGACUUGAAAUGAAGAUGGCAGAGAUAUUAUCAGUGUCUGCAGAAAUGUCAGACAUUGUCUUAAUUAGUCAUUGGACAGCCGGUAGAAUUACUAUGAUCACUUUGCAAGAACUCAAAGAGGACAAUGAAAUUGAAGAAAAAACGUGGAGAGAAGGGAGCUUUUCUAAAAACGCCUAGAUAUGUUUUAUUGUGUUGGGCAGGGUUUUACUGGGAAAGCUGUUGUGACACCGCCCUCUUCUGGUAAAAAGACGAUAGCAAAUUAUUUCAUUGGAUUUUCUAAGGAUAAACUCCUGCAAAAGAAAGGGUAGAUUGUCUAAAACCAUUAUCCGAAGCUAUGCCACACAUCACAACAGAAAUAUAAAACCAACUGAGUUGCCGUCUCCCUAUGUUCUGAGGAAGCCCUCGUUCUGAGGGUUUUCGGAAGCUGGACAAUGAAGGGAUGUGAGAGGCGCAGUGUUCUCCCUCAGCUGCCCUGUGUAGACUUACCUUUUCAGGAUCUGAACUCAGCAGUUCCAAAAGUCCUGUUUUUGCCCUUUAACCUUGUUUAUUUUAUUGUACGUUGUUUGCUAGUUUAUUAAGAGUAAAGUUACACAUUCGUGCUCCUGCAUAAAGUUAAAAAGUUACUUUGAUUGUCUGCUGGGUUAGCACUGGUCAGGGUUUAUAAUGCUUGUUAUUGGUAAUGAUUUGCUCAAAUGAAUUAUAAUCAGUUGAAUUAGUGCAUGAAUGAUAUUCAUUGUAUGUUAGCCUUUAAAUAGUUGGUUUCUAACUGUUCUCCUGUCUCUAUCCCUCAUUGUGCUUUUGUCCACCAAACUGAUGCGGCAGCAAAACAGGAAGCUAGGCUUCCUGUUCAUGGGAGGCAGAAGGGCAAGAGGCCGUCACGUCAACACAAUGUUGUCACUGUCUGCAAUGGCUCCAGUCGUCCAUAGUUGACAAUAAUGAGUGUCCUUACUGGAAUAAACAUUUUGAGAUGG